AGUGGCGAACGGGUGAGUAAUACAUCGGAACGUGCCCAGACGUGGGGGAUAACUGCUCGAAAGAGCAGCUAAUACCGCAUGAGAUCUGAGGAUGAAAGCGGGGGACCUUAGGGCCUCGCGCGUUUGGAGCGGCCGAUGGCAGAUUAGGUAGUUGGUGGGGUAAGAGCCUACCAAGCCUGCGAUCUGUAGCUGGUCUGAGAGGACGAUCAGCCACACUGGGACUGAGACACGGCCCAGACUCCUACGGGAGGCAGCAGUGGGGAAUUUUGGACAAUGGGCGCAAGCCUGAUCCAGCAAUGCCGCGUGCAGGACGAAGGCCUUCGGGUUGUAAACUGCUUUUGUACGGAACGAAAAGCCUUCUUCUAAUACAGGAGGGUGAUGACGGUACCGUAAGAAUAAGCACCGGCUAACUACGUGCCAGCAGCCGCGGUAAUACGUAGGGUGCAAGCGUUAAUCGGAAUUACUGGGCGUAAAGCGUGCGCAGGCGGUUUUGUAAGACAGAGGUGAAAUCCCCGGGCUCAACCUGGGAACUGCCUUUGUGACUGCAAGGCUGGAGUGCGGCAGAGGGGGAUGGAAUUCCGCGUGUAGCAGUGAAAUGCGU
rnacentral:rRNA from 1 species